rnacentral:lncRNA from 1 species
CUUGGGAUAGGGCAUCCUCCACUUGCUUGAGUUCUGCCAACAGGGCUUCUCUUUUUGCUGAUAGAUCAGAGAUCUUCUGCUUCAGUACGUCUCCUGAGGACUUCAAGGUGCCGAUGUUCUUGUGCUUCUCAUCGGUCAGGAUCUUUUCUUUCAUCAUCUCCUCAGAAAGUCGGGUCUAAGCGGCUCUGUCGGCAAGGCGCUGGGCAGCCCUUUGGUACUGCAGUUGACGGCUCUCUAGGUGAGCUGCUUGAAAGAGAUCUUCUUCGGCAUCGGCAGGG